rnacentral:tRNA from 1 species
GGCCCCAUCGUCUAGUGGUUAGGACGCCAGGUUCUCAUCCUGGUAACCGGGGUUCGACUCCCCGUGGGGUCA